rnacentral:rRNA from 1 species
UACGGGGGGGGCAAGCGUUGUUCGGAAUUACUGGGCGUAAAGGGCUCGUAGGCGGCCAACUAAGUCGGAUGUGAAAUCCCCAAGCUUAACUUGGGAACUGCAUCCGAUACUGGAAGGCUUGAAUCCGGGAGAGGGAUGCGGAAUUCCAGGUGUAGCGGUGAAAUGCGUAGAUAUCUGGAGGAACACCGGUGGCGAAGGCGGCAUCCUGGACCGGCAUUGACGCUGAGGCGCGAAAGCCAGGGGAGCAAACGGG